rnacentral:rRNA from 1 species
GACGAACGCUGGCGGCGUGCUUAACACAUGCAAGUCGAACGAAGAGCGAUGGAAGCUUGCUUCUAUCAAUCUUAGUGGCGAACGGGUGAGUAACGCGUAAUCAACCUGCCCUUCAGAGGGGGACAACAGUUGGAAACGACUGCUAAUACCGCAUACGAUCUAAACUCGGCAUCGAGGAUAGAUGAAAGGUGGCCUCUACAUGUAAGCUAUCACUGAAGGAGGGGAUUGCGUCUGAUUAGCUAGUUGGAGGGGUAACGGCCCACCAAGGCGAUGAUCAGUAGCCGGUCUGAGAGGAUGAACGGCCACAUUGGGACUGAGACACGGCCCAGACUCCUACGGGAGGCAGCAGUGGGGAAUCUUCCGCAAUGGACGAAAGUCUGACGGAGCAACGCCGCGUGAGUGAUGACGGCCUUCGGGUUGUAAAGCUCUGUUAAUCGGGACGAAAGGCCUUCUUGCGAAUAGUGAGAAGGAUUGACGGUACCGGAAUAGAAAGCC